AUUGAACGCUGGCGGCACGCCUUACACAUGCAAGUCGAACGGUAACGCGGGGCAACCUGGCGACGAGUGGCGAACGGGUGAGUAAUGUAUCGGAACGUGCCCAGUUGUGGGGGAUAACUGCUCGAAAGAGCAGCUAAUACCGCAUACGACCUGAGGGUGAAAGCGGGGGAUCGCAAGACCUCGCGCAAUUGAAGCGGCCGAUAUCAGAUUAGGUAGUUGGUGGGGUAAAGGCUCACCAAGCCGACGAUCUGUAGCUGGUCUGAGAGGACGACCAGCCACACUGGGACUGAGACACGGCCCAGACUCCUACGGGAGGCAGCAGUGGGGAAUUUUGGACAAUGGACGCAAGUCUGAUCCAGCCAUGCCGCGUGCGGGAAGAAGGCCUUCGGGUUGUAAACCGCUUUUGUCAGGGAAGAAAAGGCUCCUUCUAAUAUAGGGGGCUCAUGACGGUACCUGAAGAAUAAGCACAGGCUAACUACGUGCCAGCCGCCGCUGUAACAC
rnacentral:rRNA from 1 species